UUGUUUUCAAGCAGGACUUGCCUUGGUCUCUUGACUCACAUGUCCAGUGUCGCACAAACUCUUUUUCCCACAAGUCAAACAAAUAACUUAAUAGCCCACAUGUCUCGAACUGCCAUUCUCCGUCUCUAAUUCUCCCUAACCAAACUUAGACGAAGACAAGGGUGCUAAUGGUAGAAAGAGAUGAUGUGUUAGGGAAUGCAUUUAUGUAUGACUUUAAAUUUGAUAGAAAAAACUAAAAAACAAAAUAUAAGAUUGAUCUUGUCAUUUCGUUUGUUAAUUACUGACUAUGAUGAAGAGACACAAAACAAAAUUAACAACCGCAAGAAAAUUUUCAUCGUGUCACGAGUUUUUUGAUGAGUGGUUAAGAUGUUUAGUAUCCCAGCAGAACUAGUUUUGUUGUAAGUAAAAAAAAAAUUAUGUUUGACCAACUUGUUGAAAAUAGUAACAACACAUGCAACAUCAAAUCGGUAUAUUACGAAAUUACAUUUCGAAAUAGAUCUAUGGUACUAGUUUAGUGUCAUAUGUGCUGCUAGAUUUUCCAAUAAGAUAAACCUAAAAGUAUAGGAAAGGUUUUUUACGGCUUGCCUCUCAGAACCUCCUGCUCACAUGCAGGUCUCGUUUGGUCCAGA
rnacentral:lncRNA from 1 species